CAGUUUUGUUUAUUCUUUUUUCUGUGUUUAGAAAAUCCACUCCCACUCAUCAGCCUCUAUUAACACCCAAGGCAGGGAUACAGAACAAAGACUGAGAACAAACCAAGCUCUCCUCUGGAAAGCAAACCAAAGUAAAACUGCGGUUAUUACUGGUGCAUAGGGUACCCUUACAGGAGACUUGAGGAGGAAAAUCGAAUAAUUGAAGCCACCAUUUAUUUGGCAUCAACUCUUUGCUAGGUUUGGACCCCCAGGUUUUCUGGCGCUCACUGGGAGUGCUGGAAUGUGUUGUGUCUGCGAAUCAGUUAGGAGCAUUCUCUCACUUCUACUUCUAAAGAGCUCUUCUCUGCUCGUUCCAGUUUGAUCCCUUGGUCGCUUGGCAGGGAGAAAAGGCAAGCACCGCUCUCAGUUGUCUGGACAGUGCUCUGACCCAGUGUGUAAAACCUCUUGGGCACUCAACAAAAGGACAGCUCAAGAAUGUUUCCUUCCUGAGGAAAAGGAAGGACAAUGUUUCUGUGAGGAAGCAUGUCCAGGCAAGGCACCAUGGCGGGGCUGGGUGGUUAAUAUCUCAGAAUUCUCACUCAGCAGCGAGGAGCUCAUAGAAGCCAUAUGUAGUACCAAGUUGAUUGACUCUAAAAAUGAAGUCAGACUUUUUCUCUCAGAAAUUUAACCUCUUUGAUAGGUUUGAUUGGAGACUGGAAUUUUCCACUAAUUGAAUGAACAAACUCUGCCAAUUUCAAUCAAAAUAUACUAAAAGUAUUAUAAAGCAUGUAAUGCAUGGGAAACCAUAUCUUUUGCAGUUAUUAGAAUUAUGAUAAAAAUUUCAGAUGUCAACCUAAAAAUGCAUAAAGACCCCACUGGUUUCACAAUUUUUCCGUGGGGUAAAUGAACCAAACAGUUCUCACUGUUCAGUCUCCAGUCCCCACUUGUCCAUGCUGUCUCUUUUUAGAUUUCCUCUUUCAGUCUCAGCAGCGGUUCCUCAAAACAUGUACAUGAGAUAGAAAUAAAAUUAUGUUUAGAAAAGAUUUGAGUACUUAGAGUAUCACAGUGGACUUUUUCAUGUGAAAUAUGAUACAUUUAAAGUUCUUUACACAAAGGAAUAAAGUUGAUUCCAAGGCUCUUUUUCAUAUCCUGACAUGAUCUACUUUUGCAAACAUUAUACUUAAGGUAUUCAGUUUGCAUUUUUGAGGAAUCAAAG
rnacentral:lncRNA from 1 species